rnacentral:lncRNA from 1 species
UUUCUCCAUCCUAGUAAUCAAAUUUGAGCAAAAUCAAAUGGGGCUUUCUAUGAAAGUACCUUUUGUUGAUCUGAACGAGCUGGUAAUUUACAAAAUACCCUUCCUUUGUGAGGAAGGCUAAAGAAAAAAAGAAUCAGUAGCUUUUAAAGCUGGGCCUUAGUGGGACUCUAAAUGCAAUGAAAGCAGUCUGUGUUGAGAGACUGAAAUGCAUUUCAAAGCCAGGCCUGAUUCGGGGUACAAGGAAGAACAGACCUAUGUGCAUUUUGUAGGAAGAAAACUGUGAAUGGAAAAAGGAGAAGGGGAGAGAAACGGGGGAAAUCUGGAUAAUACAUUAAAGUAACCAUAAUUUUGGAGAUGCAUUCAUCUUAUUGAAAAUAUAUUUCCUCAUGGUUGUGAUUCCUCUUCACUCUUUUGAAUUUGGAAGGAUGGCAUACACAUCUGAAAAAUACCACUACUUCCUUCAUUGGACUGCAAGGUAUUUCUGUUUGGAAAAGUAAUGGAGUCCAGUCAACUUCAUUGAUCGCCAAGGACUGUCAAAAUUAUAAAACUUGCUGUGGAGCUCUGACAUGCCAGAAGCCGCUAGAAAAAGAAGUUUGACAUUCAGAAACUUAUCAAGAGGUUCUACUCUUUGGAUAGAGACCAAAAUCAUACUUUGAAGGGAUUGCAGUGGCAAAGCUAGGCUAGGUCUUGGAGGCUGGUGUAAGGCGAUGUGGGUGAAGGCAGGAGGCUGAUGGAAAGACUGGGGGGAAGAAAAGCCGAAAUGGAUUCACGGUGCCUUGGAUGAAGGACGAGAGGGGAACUGCAAGCUCCUUCAACUGGUUCUGUCCGGUGAGAAGUGAUCAAGCUUGGGCUGACAAGAGGCUCAGGGAGCCCUCACGUUCUUUCGCUUUUUUACCUGCCAAUCAAACUGCUACAAGACAACACCCUGAUCUGGCAUGGACAUUUAUUCUUCUUAGGAUGGCUGCCAGGGAAUAGAUGAAAGGCAGAAGUGGCGAUGGGUGACUGAUGUGGCACACUUAUGAAGAAAAGCCUCUUUUUCCAUGCUUGUUUUUCCUCCCCAAGGAGCCAACAGAGUUUCUAUUCUCCAACUCUGCUCUUCACCUUACCCAAGUCAUUGCAGUCACCUGGAGUCACGGAAAUGACCAUGAUUGCCUGAACUUUCAUGACUUCUGUGGAUAACUGUGGUUGCAGAAAAGAGAAAACCUGGACCGUGAGGGACAUUUCACUCCCUGGGCUUUGGUACAUGGUACAUGUGUGGUUGGAUGUGUGUUGCCAGAAAACAGCCUGCCAUGUCUGAGGCUAUGCUCCCAGACUAGCAGCCUGGGUUACAGGGGAAGAGCUGAAGUUGGGUUGGGGAAGUUUAAUAUACUAUACUUUUAAAAUUUUUUUACUUUUGGCUAAUAUUUAUCUAUUUAUUUAUUUUUAUUUUUUGUAGAGACAGGGUUUUGCCAUGUUGCCCUGGCUGGUCUCAAACUACUGAGCUUGAGAAUCUGCUUGUCUUGGCCUCCCAAAGAGCUAGGAUUACAGGCAUGAGCCAUCGAGCCUGGCUCCUUUUAUUCUUUUCAUGACACUACCUCUUCCUAGGAGAGG